AUAAAACUGCGCAGCAUAAUUGUAUCGACUGGUGAGGGAUAAACAUUGCUUGUCAAUGGAUACCCUCGAAACCCCACUCCACUUACUAUAAUGUGCAGUGCGGCCAGUUAGCAAAUACAUUUAACUUACAACAAGGUUGAUAAGGUCGAGCAAGUACGAGAUGAGCGCCAAGGCCUGCGGGAACGCGUGCAGCGUGUUGACAGUCUUCAGCCAAGAUUUGGAAACAGUCCCUGGAUACAGCAGCCGUUUAGAGAGAUGCGCUUAGCAUCCUUAAUAAGUGAGGUCAGCAGAGCCCCGGUGAUGUCGACAAACCGCGCGAUGGUGAGCGGGCGAAUGAGCGCCAUGCCGCCCGCGCCGGCGCCCCCGGCCCGGCUCGCGAGCGCCUCCUGCACGCGCGCGCACUCCGACCGCUGCCAGGCCACGUUUGAUAUUGGUCUGGUAACAAGCAUAAACAUUUCAUUAUCUCCGGGUUAGUAUCACAAAAAUCAGGUUGUUGUUGUUAACUUUAAUAUGUAUUAAAAUUUAAAAGCAAAAUUAUUUAUGAUUGAAGUUUUUACAGUAGUUUGUUGUAGAAAGCUGCCUAGCUAUGUCUAUUAAUAUAAUAUUAAAAUAUGGAUUUUUUCAGACUAUGAAAUUGUCACAUAGAUUUAUAUGUGAUGGGAUAGGAAAGUAUUAGAUUGUUGUGGACAAUUUAAUUACCUUUGAUCCUUAACAGUGACAAAAGCUAAAGCUCUUUCCAAUGAGGUUUGCCAGGUGCGGUUGGAGCGGUCUUGAGAUGGUGUUCUCUGGAAUAUAAUUAAAUAAAAUAAUGAACAUUUAGAUUAUAUUCAGUACAUGUACAUUGUGGUUACUUCUUACACAGAGUUAAUAUCUGCUCUCUUUUAUUGCAUAUUAUAUUAAAAUUCUAGACAAACCCAAAAUCUAUUUAUAAAGCUUCUGUUUUAUUCCAACACACAGUUCCAAUAACAUAUUAUUUUACCCAACAAUAUAAAUGCCAGAUAAAAGUUAAAAAUAAAUCAUUCAGAAACCAUACACUUCACAACUUACCACAGGAGUAGUAGUGGUCCUGGAGUACUGGCUGGAGCGGGACUGCAGCGGUGUCAUGCAUGACUGGCCGAACCUCUCUGCUUGUUGGGAACGAGACCUCUGUGCCAAACAUUAGUUAUGUGCUGUGUUAUUGGUGCCAGGACAUUUACAUGCAAUGUUUCAUGAUUGUUAAACUGUUAUGGUCUUAUGUUAUGAAAUUUUUUAUUGAUUUUCAUUUGUAUUAUUAGAAUAUUUAUAAGAUAAUAGCCUAGAAGAUACAUGUUACACAUUGAAUUAA